ensembl:lncRNA
UACCUGUGCAGUGCCGCCACACUGUGCAGUUUUUUUCUCACAGAGAUAUGCUCUCUUCAAUGUUAAGAAAGAAAAAUAAUUUUUGAGUAUUUCAAUAUUUAAAAAAAAGAAGAAGAAAUUAGUGUUAAAUAUUUCAAUAGUACAAUGGGCUGUAGAACUCGAGACGUUUUCUGUAUCGACUCGACUUGCCUUGGAUCUGUUGACAUUUGUACUCAGACUUGGGCAUUGGUCUUGCUCAAUAUGGUCUUAGUCUUGAUUGAGAGUAAAAAUAAUUUGCCUUUUCUUUUUGCAUACACAAAUUUAGGCAAGUAGUAACUCCUUGUAGAAAACCAGCCUGAUCAUCAUAACACUCAUAUGAAGCCAAAUAGCUGAAGGAAAGGCCUGUGGAAAUUAAGGAUUUGAAUUGUCCUUGACCCCCACUUGGUCUUGACUCAAACUCCUUAUCUUGGCCUUCAAAAUGGCAGUCUUGAUUAUAGCUCUAUACUGUAUUUUAGUAGUCAUCAAUCUAGCUUCAGUAAACAUUAUCAGAUUUAUAAACACUCCAGUCUGCCAGGGGGCAGUGGAGAUAGUUACAGGUCAUAUGUGCUAUUAGUUAUGCAUAAAAAAGCCAUUAUUUCAUUUUUGUCUGGCAAACUGUAUAAAAAAUUAAGCAUGAUGCAAACCUAUAUGAAUAAAUCAGGAAUAUAAUAGCAACUAAGCUAAGCAUGGAAUAGUCCUCAAACAUCCAGCAAUACUCCAUACUGUCCAUAACCUGUUCCACAUUUUCACCAAGUAAAAUUGUGACUUUCUAUAAAUUUAUACAAAAUAUCUUUCAUCUUUGUGCUCAGACAAGAGACUUCUGUUCAUUUCUUAAAGGUCAGUUAUGAAUUUAUACAUGAAUGAUUUACAUUAAUAUCAUCUUUAAUAUUUAACGUACCUUAAAGGGAGGUAAAUUAUUUUAGUUGGAGAUUGGUGCAACAAUUAGACAUAACUUUUAAUAAUAAUUCAUUUGUCGGUUUAUCUCCCAGGACGGAGAUAUAAUCUCAGUCAUGUUCAAGUGAGUAGUGAACUUAUACAGAUGUGUGACUAACGCAGUAAAGCACCAAUCAGUCUGUUUUUCAGAUCGCAAAAUGGCAAAACAGGCAACUAAUACGACAAAAAAAGACAUUUAUUGUGAUUACAGGGAAAAAAAAUCUUUUAAAUUUUGUGUAUAUGGUAUGACAUUUCCUCUACAGAAAAGAUUUUGGUCAAACAGUAAUAAAUAAAUAAAUAACUCUCAAAUAUUUAUAUUAUUAUAAUACAUUUCAGUUAAAUAAAAACGAGCUAAUGAUCUAGCUAAUUUUAGGUCAUGUUUUAGCAAAAAUAUUUCAGGUAAUGUUCUAGCAGGAAUGUUUUAGGUAAUGUUCUAGCGGGACAUAAUUUUAGGUAAUGUUCUAGCAGGAAACUUCAGGUAAUGUUCUAGCAGGAAACUUUAGGAAUUUUUUAAGGCAUUGUAGCAGACACCCUUGUCUGCCAUGGGCGACUUACCAUUAUCUCAUUUAUACAACUGAGCAGUUGAGGGUUAAGGGCCUAGUUCAAGGGCCCAGUAGUGGCAGCUUGGCAAUCUGGAAUUUGAACUCAAACCUUCUGAUCAGUAGUCCAUCAUCAUAACCACUGAGCUACUACUACCCUGAUUCUGAUAUUCAUGAAAUCAGAAAAUUGCCAAGAGAGAAAUGUUAAUUGAUUCUAUUUGAUAGUUUUUUAAUGUUGAAAUGUUUGAUUUAGUGUGUAGAUGCUCUUUCCUCAUUUGAUAACCAUGUCACACAUUAUUCAAAACAUCAUAACAUGGGUGUUGUUAUGAUGUUUUAAAUAAACAUCAUACUCGCUACCCGAUCAGUAGCGUGCAACUUCAGUAAUGCAUUUCUCAGGAACAACCCAUGUGCAUGCCAUGAUUAUCUGAUCUGACUGUAGUAUUUUCACUUUUCAUUCAUUUUCAUUCAUGCCCAACAAUUCACUCGAAUUGUUUACUGGAACUACAGCUAUGUAUGGGGCAUGAAUAGCAGACCAAUUAAAAUCAACUCAUGUCAAAAGGGAUCCAUCAUUGCAAAAUACAGAUCACUGCAACACAUCAGAAAAAAGCACUAUCAUCCUGAAAACAUCUCAAAUAGUUUUAGAGGCGGAUUCAGAUUCAUUUUACUUACAGCGUCAAAUAUAAACAUACCAUCAAACAUAAAAACCCAUAUCAGUGAUAUUAGUAAUAAUAAUUAACACUUGCAUUAAUUUGGGUUU